rnacentral:rRNA from 1 species
GGGGGGGGCAAGCGUUGUUCGGAAUUACUGGGCGUAAAGGGCUCGUAGGUGGCCAACUAAGUCAGACGUGAAAUCCCUCGGCUUAACCGGGGAACUGCGUCUGAUACUGGAUGGCUUGAGUUCGGGAGAGGGAUGCGGAAUUCCAGGUGUAGCGGUGAAAUGCGUAGAUAUCUGGAGGAACACCGGUGGCGAAGGCGGCAUCCUGGACCGACACUGACACUGAGGAGCGAAGGCCAGGGGAGCAAACGGGAUUAGAUACCCCGGUAGUCCUGGCCCUAAACGAUGAAUGCUUGGUGUGGCGGGUAUCGAUCCCUGCCGUGCCGAAGCUAACGCAUUAAGCAUUCCGCCUGGGGAGUACGGUCGCAAGGCUG